ACGAACGCUGGCGGCAUGCCUAACACAUGCCGGUCGAACGAGACCUUCGGGUCUAGUGGCGCACGGGUGCGUAACGCGUGGGAACCUGCCCUUAGGUUCGGAAUAACUCCCCGAAAGGGGUGCUAAUACCGGAUAAUGUCUUCGGACCAAAGAUUUAUCGCCUUUGGAUGGGCCCGCGUUGGAUUAGCUAGUUGGUAGGGUAAAAGCCUACCAAGGCGACGAUCCAUAGCUGGUCUGAGAGGAUGAUCAGCCACACUGGGACUGAGACACGGCCCAGACUCCUACGGGAGGCAGCAGUGGGGAAUAUUGGACAAUGGGCGAAAGCCUGAUCCAGCAAUGCCGCGUGAGUGAUGAAGGCCUUAGGGUUGUAAAGCUCUUUUACCCGGGAUGAUAAUGACAGUACCGGGAGAAUAAGCUCCGGCUAACUCCGUG
rnacentral:rRNA from 1 species